GACGAACGCUGGCGGCAUGCCUAAUACAUGCAAGUCGAACGAUGAUAUCACUGCUUGCAGUGAUUGAUUAGUGGCGAACGGGUGAGUAACACGUGAGGAACUUGCCCAUGAGCGGGGGACAACAUUCGGAAACGGAUGCUAAUACCCCAUAGGUGGAUUGGUCGCAUGACGAAUUCAUUAAAGGUGGCUCUGCUACCACUCAUGGAUAGCCUCGCGGCGUAUUAGCUAGUUGGUAAGGUAAUGGCUUACCAAGGCAGUGAUACGUAGCCGACUUGAGAGGGUGAUCGGCCACACUGGGACUGAGACACGGCCCAGACUCCUACGGGAGGCAGCAGUAGGGAAUCUUCCACAAUGGGUGCAAACCUGAUGGAGCAAUGCCGCGUGAGUGAAGAAGGUCUUCGGAUCGUAAAGCUCUGUUGUUAGAGAAGAACACGUGCUAGGUAACUACUAGCGCCUUGACGGUAUCUAACCAGAAAGUCACGGCUAACUACGUG
rnacentral:rRNA from 1 species